UCCGGUGGCGCAGUCGCUUUGGCCCGGUCGCCGGGGGCCCGGCUCGGCCCACCCGGGGCGCUGACUGCCGCCGUUCCGGAGCCGGGCCUGAUCAGACCUUUCUUCCUUUUCCCUUCGACUCCCUUCGAGGAGGGAACGGCAUGGGGGACAGCUGCUGUGCUCCGCGGCAGAGUGGUUUCCAAGUGGUUGGUACUCCCUGCAAGGGAGACGAGAGCUGCUUGUGUAGCUUUGCGGUACAAGAAAUCCGUAGUCAGUUCUUUUGUAACUUCGAACUACAGGCGUGAGAGGGGACUUGAGGUGCCUCUUCUUGCUGGUGGGAGAUGCUUCAGAAAUCUGCAGCCUGGCAGGUGGUGACUGUAAUAUGUAAUUGAACAACUUCAGGAGAAAGGCUUCCCACUAUACCUUCUUGCAGGCCUGUCUGGCGUCUUAGUAGAGGAGCUCAAUCUCAGAUCUUGGUGGAGAUACUAAAUUGUGUGGAAUCCUUGCUAGGCCUCAAAGCUGGUCAAGGGCACAAUAGCAUCAGAAGUGAGAGAUGGACACGCUGAACAGAGGGUUGGAGAGACAGAGUUUAUAAAAGAUGGCACAGAUCUGAGGUUUUCUGAACCUGGACUCUGCUUGAAAGAGAAUUAUUUCAGGAAGUUUGAGCAGAAACAGUUUGGUGCAAUGGAUAAACUUUCUUUCUAGCUUUUAUAUUUAUAAAGAAAGGUGUAUUUUUUCAUGAGUACACUAAAGCAUCUGAACAGGAGACACUGGAAACCUGAAAUCUGGAAUGGAGAUAAUGCAUUAGGCUCAAUGGAAAAAGUAUGGUUUGGUUUAGCCAGAUCAUACAGAUUUAAAUUGCUUGCCUUGACAGUUGCUUGGCUAUGUGUGUAUUAACCAAGACAUCACAAGGAAAUCUGGAUCUCAUUUGGUGUCCAGCGGAUGGAUUAGAUAUUAAACUGAUGAAUGAGGAAGGGUACAGCAGGAGCACUAGGGUAACAGUAAAUGUAGUUCCUCUACAUGAUUUGCUAUGCAGAGAAUUUGUGAAUAGGUAUUAUAGGAUUGAAGAUUGUAUUGCAAUUGCACACAUUAGCAUGAGGCAGCAGAGGUAAGAGUUGGUGUGGAGCCUUGGGAUACUGUACCUUUAAGCUCCUCACUUUGCCAUCCUACUGCUCCACUAGUAACUCUGAGAAAUUCUGUAUCAUUGUUUUGUCAGUUUUGAUGGUGCUAUGCUGAUUUACAUCAGCGAAAGAUCUACCUAACAACCUCAUUAAAAAUAAAAACAAUGUGAAUCA